ensembl:lncRNA
AUGGUGUUGUGCAUGGGGUGGUGCAGGUGUAAGGGAAGAAAGGAGGAAAAAGAACUUAAGAAAGUAAAGAAAGAGACUGUCACAGUGACCAUUCCUCUGCUAUCAAUCAUUGGUGGCGGUGGAGGAGGUGAGUGGGGAGAGACCAGGAGGGGUGCAGGAAGGUCCCAAGCUGCUUGUGGAAGAGCUGAAAGUUUCCAUUUCUAUUCAAAUAUUAUUAGCAUGAUGGGAAAGAGCCAUUUCCCAAGCUUUCUUACAAGUGAUUUUCACCAGGAAUGCAGCUUCAUGUGCUGUUUCUUUUCUUUCUCUCUAACUCUCACUAGUGCCACACACAUCUUAAUCAUGUAUCUUGUCGCCGGCAACCUAGGAUUAUUAUUUUUUUUCUUGACCAAUUUAUACUGAUUGUGUGGGA